AGGAUCUCGGUGCGCAGGUGGUGGCAGAAGGUCCAGGAGCAGGGGUAGCCCGUGAGGCGCACGUACUCCCCCGGGCUGUGGCGGUACCGCUCCUCCAUCCAGUCGUUCAGGUGGUAGUUCUGCCAGGGGAUCCUGCGGGCCGUGCUGGCGUGCAGGACCGGGAGGGUGAUCCUGAAGAUGGGGGCCAGCGUGCUGUGCAUCUCGGGCGGGAUGAAGGCCGGCCGCCCGUUCAUCCUGGUCAGCGCGUACAGGGUGGCGUACUACCCCAUCUGGUUCCCCAGGCGGCCGAUGGCAUUGAUCGUCCACAUGCCCUUCAGCUGGGGGCUGGAGGGGCUCUCUGUGGUCACCUGCGUCACCAUCUGUAACUCCCACGUGGGUUGAAUCUUCACCAUCCUCUGCUGAAGGUGAAAUAUGGUGGAAGCCGUGAAGACAAAGAGGAUGAAGGGACCCGUGGGGAAGAAGAAAGAUGCCUGCAUGCUGAGCAUGGCUGUCAGGGGAGGGAGAACAGGGAGCGGUUAGCUUGGGGCUGGAGGCCCUAGGGGUGGCGCAUGAAGCUGGCAGUGCAGUUAUGUGUGCAACCUUGUGUAGAUGUUUCUGCGUGUGGAUUUACUUUGUGGGUGCGUGGAAACCAAUACUCAGGUGCAUUUAUGCAGGUACAUCGCUAGAUGAGUGUUUUGAGGGUGUGUUUCCCCUGGAUUCAUAUGUGCAUGUUUACACACGUGGAUAUAUAUGCGUUCUGUGUAUAUCCACAGGCAUGGCAUGUGCAUCAUUUGACUAUACCUGGGUAUCUUAUAUAUUGUGUACGUAUGACUCUGUGUGAGGUUGUGUGCGUACAAAUGGACACUGCAUGUGUAGGGUACCUUGUCUUGCAUGGCUGUGAGUAUACAGGCACGCCUCCUUCUAGAGCACUUUGAAGAUAGCGUGUUUUUUACAAACUGAAGGUUUUUGGCAACCCUGCCUUGUCAGAUGAGGGUUAGCAUUUUAUUUUAUUUUGCUUUUUAGGGCUGCACCUGUGGCAUAUGGAGGUGCCCAGGCUAGGGGGUCAAAUCAGAGCUGCUGCCACCAGCCUACACCACAGCCACAGCAAUGCCAGAUCCAAGCCAUGUCUGUGACCUACACCACAGGUCACAGCAACGCAAGGUCCACUGAGCAGGGGCAGGGAUCAAACCCGCAACCUCAUGGAUCCUAGUUGGAUUCGCUUCCACUGCGCCAUGACGGGAACUCCAGGGUUAGCAUUUUAAAGAAAUAAAGUGUUUUUAAGGUAUUUACAUUGGCUUUUUUUGGUCUUUCAUCUUUUUAGAGCCACACCCAUGGCAUAUGGAGGUUCCCAGGCUUGGGGUCGAUUUGGAGCUACAGCUGCCGGCGUACACCACAGCCACAGCAAUGCCAGAUCCUUAGCCCGCUGAGCAAGGCCAGGGAUUGAACCCAUGUCCUCAUGGAUACUAGUCAGGUUUGUUAACCACUAAGACUUGACAGGAACGCCACAUUAUUUUUUUUUAGCUAUAAUGCUGUUGCACGCUUAGAAGACCACAGUAUAGGAUAAAUAUAACUAUCGUAGGCACAGGGAAGCCAAAAACUUGGUGCGACUUACUUUGUUGCAGUAUUAGCGUUAUUGUGGUGGUCUGGAACUGAACCUCAACUAUCUGAGCUAUAUUUGUAUUGUGUAAGCAUAAGGUCGGGUACCACACACACACACCGCACAUGUCAUGUGUAGGUGGCUGUGAACCGACAGUGCGUGGAUUUAUAUCCUGUGAGUGUACGUGUGUGGGUAUCUGUAUACUAUAUGAUGAGCACAAGUGUGUGAAGCUGCUGCUUCCUGGGGACCCAGUUUCCAGAGGUGUCCAUCAUUGCGUGCCCUCCCCAUCCACAUCCUCCUUGACGGGAAACUGCACUGCCCAUCAAGAGCUCAACCGCUCAACCUGUCCACCGUCCUGGCUUCAGAUGACUGACACCGAGGGCUGCGUGGGAUCCGAGCUGCGUCGGCCACCUACACCAUAGCUCAUGGCAAUGCCGGACCCUUUAACCCAUUGAGUGGAGGCCAGGGAUUGAACCCGCAUCCUCAUGGAUACUAGUCGGGUUGGUUACUGCUGAGCCACAACAGGAACUCCGGUAUCUUAUUUACAUUCCACACAUAACAUAUGGUAUUUGUCUUUCUCUUUCUGACUUACUUCACCCAGUAUGACAAUCUCUAGGUCUAUCCAGGUUGUUGCCAAUGGCAUCGUUUCAUCUUUUUUAUGGCUGUGUAGUAUUCCAUGGUGUAUAAAUGAACCACAUCUUUAU
rnacentral:lncRNA from 1 species